GACGAACGCUGGCGGCGCGCUUAACACAUGCAAGUCGAACGGAAAGGCCUGCUUUCCCUUGUGGAUUGCGGGUACUCGAGUGGCGAACGGGUGAGUAACACGUGAGUGAUCUGCCCCCAACUUGGGUAUAAGCCUGGGAAACUGGGUCUAAUUCCCGAUAGGACUGCAGGGUGGUGCCUGUGGUGGAAAACGAUUUUCUAGUGGUUGGGGAUGAGCUCGCGGCCUAUCAGCUUGUUGGUGGGGUAAUGGCCUACCAAGGCGGCGACGGGUAGCCGGCCUGGGAGGGUGGACGGCCACAGUGGGACGGAGAUACGGCCCAGACUCCUACGGGAGGCAGCAGUGGGGAAUAUUGCACAAUGGGCGGAAGCCUGAUGCAGCGACGCCGCGUGGGGGAUGACGGCCUUCGGGUUGUAAACUCCUUUCGACCGCGAGGAAGCCACCUGGUUGGAAGGGUGGUGACGGUAGUGGUAGAAGAAGCACCGGCUAACUACGUG
rnacentral:rRNA from 1 species